GCCUUGGUGGUGUAGUGGUAGAGUACGCGUCCUCGGUAUGGAUGGAAUGCGGGUUCGAUUCUCGUCUCAGGCC